GUGGAUUGUGGCUCAGUGGUAGAGCGCUCACCUAGCAAGUGCGAGGCCCUGGGUUCAAUCCUCAUCACAACA
rnacentral:tRNA from 1 species